UGGAAAAUGUGCACCUUGUUUCCAUGCCAAUAUUUUCCUGGCUUUCAUGGGUAACAAUGCUAUGCUGGGGAAGAGUUACCUUGUGAGCAUCCAUUUAUGCUAUUUCUGUGGUUCAGGAAGGAGUUGCACUGCAGCAGUUCCCAUGCUGUGGAGAUAAGGAGGGACGCAAAUUGUGAUUGUGUAAUGUGCAAAAAAGGAACUUAUUACUCCCAAUUCCUCUGUUAAAAUGUAUGUGCAUGCAUGUGUGCACCUCUGUCAGGGCACAUGCAUGCACACACAUGCACUCUCUCUCUCUCUCACACACACACGUUCGGCUUCUGGGAAGUCAAUUUGUUUCAAAAUAUAUAUCACAAUAAUAAAGCCUGUGUGUGUGUGUGUGUGUGUGUGUGUGUGUGUGUGUGUUGGGAGAAGCGUGUGUAGCUUUUCUGUGAACAGAAAUAAAAUGCUUGCUUAAUGAAUGACUUGCUAUGAAACACUCAAGCGGUAAGGUACAAAGCCAUGUAAAUGAAGGAAGGAUAUAUAAAAACUAAGUGUGAUUGAAGAUUUUGCUGAAUAAAAUGUUCAGUGACUUAGCAUCUUGUUUAGUUUUCCUAGGUAUUCAGCAAAACCUAAUUAGAAGGAAAGGUGUUAAUGGGAAACAGGCAAGAAAUAGAACUCGUGAUCAGAAGUUAUGCUUCCAUUCUAUGUUCUUUAUCAGAAAACCGUUUUUUUUUUACCUGCUUUAAAAAACCUCACAUCCCUUCCUAAAGCUGCCCUCUUCUUCCCAGAAUUAAAAUAAAUGCUACAUUAAUAGCAUUCUUCCUUCUCAUGCAGAAGCAGGACCAUUUUAUGCUAUAGUAUUUAUAAAUGCACAUAAUGACCUCUUUGCGUUAGCAGCUCCCCUCCACUUUUUUUAUAGGUCAUCUGAACAGUAAGAGGUUCUGAGCUUACACUUUCAAAAUAUAGAUUAGAGGUACAGAAGAGGUGACUGAAAAACUGAGGGCUUCUGAAGAGGACUUCAGAUGACCCAAUUUCCCAAGUUUGCAAUCACUGCAUGGUAGGAGCCCUGUAAAAGUGGAGAGGAAGGUUGCUCCAAAAGGGAUAAGCACUUUGACAGGUAUUCAAUUCAGAAUAUAGCUCCUUUCACAGAACAAACCAUGACUCAAAAGCAAGUCCCACUGAAUUCCAGGUAAGUGAGUCUAGGUAAGUGAGUCAUUUGGGUGUGUCAAAUGAAUACGUGCAGGCAAAGUCCUGGUGGCACUGCAGCGGAAGGCUCCUCACCCCCAACCUAGAAAUUGGCUUCAGUGUAAAUAGGCUUGUUUCAGACAUUCACAAUAAUAUGCGUAGGUUGGGAGGGUGGAGCCUGCUAUGGUGCUGCUACCAUCCCUGCCUACACACAGUUGUUCUUCAUAGCUGAAGAACUGAAAAGGUCUUAGACUUUCCAUAAUCAGUGUUAUGGGUUUUGCUUUAGAAAAGCACAGAUUUCCCUCCUCCUUCUCUAAAGAGCAUAUGGGUAGGAGUGAAAAAUAGCUGCGUUCAAUUGCGAAGGUUUGUUGUAAAACGAAAAAGAGAGGUUGUUGAAGCAGCACAGCAGAUUGCAAAAUGAGAGCUGCCUGCAUAUUGCAGAACUGAAAAGUGUAAGUUGUACUUUCACUAGCUGGGUAAAUGCUCUACAUACAAACAUAUGCACACACACACACUUACUCCAUGCCAAAGAAAUGGAAUCAUUCUUAGAUGCUCACUUGGGAUCAUAGGAUGUGAAACUCUGCUUCUGAUGGGCAAGGGAUGAUCUGAGUGUUCAAAACCCCCAGAAUUUAGGAAGUUUGGUAACAAGCCUGCAGAGACAAUGGGAGACCUGUCAGGUAAGUCAAAUGUAUCAUAGGAAGAGGCUCAUGCAAUGAAGAUAUACAGAGAAGGACAAAUUAUAUAUGCAUUUGUAUGAUAAUGCUAGAAGCAUGUUGAUUGGAAGGAGGCAUGCUCAAGGCUAUGACCCAUAAACGUAAAACCUUAUCUAAGGGUAAGUAAUUUUGUUGGGUUUUGAGUACUAGGAGUGAAUGAAUAAGCCUAUCCAUUGGGGUAUAGUCAACUUUGUGCCCUCCAGAUGUUGGUAAAGUACAACUCCCAUCAAUCUCAGCCAGCAUGGUCAAUGGUCAAUGAUGAUGGGAAUUGUGAUGCAGCUGGAGGGGCGCUGUUGACUACCAUACGUGAUGAAGAGCCACAACCAUGUUACUCCAUCCCUCAAAGGGACGGAUUGGCAGGAAUCAAGCAGAAACACAGUAGCCAGUCGAUGGAUACUCUGAGUCCCCAGUUUUCUCUAAUCUUGUGAAUUUGUGUGGCAUGCUAACAGACAUACACUCUGGUAUUUAGUGGGUUAAACAUUACUGAGAAUAUCUUAACUAGAAGAACCAUUUAGCAAUGGAAUGCACACUGCCUCAUUUUAGAAUACUGUGACCAUCAGAUGUUUAUCUUUUUUUUCAAAAAGAAAAUGCUGCUCUAGGCAAUCCUUGCAGGAUUUUUGUCUAAAAAUUGAGACUGAUUCACAAGUCACCACUUACAUGCCCAGGAAAUUGCCUGUGGGUAUGUUUAAGCAUUCUCCACAAAAAAGUAUAAUGUGAAGAAUACGUACAGCUGCUUAAAAGUACUUUUCGCUUGCCAAUAACAGCAACGCAUCUUAGAUGUAAAAGAGUUGUAAUGAAAUAUAACGUAUAUGAAAUAUAUACAUUAAUGUAUGAAUACAAUGAAUGAAUGAAGUAGAAAUUAAAUCAGGAAUUUGCUAGGGCAGAACCCUAAAAUUCAUGAAUCUCUACUUAUUCUUCAUUGACAACUAUGACUAUUCUUUUUCUUCCUGGGGUUAAAAUAUAACCAGGAGCUGUGUUUCUAAUUAUGGUUCAUGCUCCAAUUUUACAGUUAUCCAUUGCUGAUAAACGGUAGAGAAAUUUAUAACAUGGGAUGGAUAGAGCAUUCAUGGGUUUUGUAUUUACUGCUCUAUUCAUGUUUUAAAAUAUGCACCGCUUCUUUCAGCAGUAGAGAAAGGGAGAGAAAAUAUAAUGAGCUAUGAGCAGACACAGGAACAGUUGCCCAUGCUUCUUUUAAAAUAUUAACACCUCCUUCCCUUCAGUAGGACUGAAAAGCUCUUUGAAGGGUGUUCUGGAAAGUGUGAAUGUACUCUUUCACCACUUCAUCAAUGUCAACUGCAUUCUUUCUCCCUUUUGAAUUACCCCACAAGAGAGCUCUAGGAUAACUUUCAUUCUGUUCACACAUUACUUUUUUCACUGUUUAUCUUAGCUUCCCAAUGCUUGGGGACCACAAGCCUGACCAAAAUCUCACCUUUAGCUCUGCUCUUUCACUUCUCCGGGAGACUUCCACAAUGCCCUUCUGCAGUCUGCAUUGGUGGAAACAAUCCAGCUUCCACAUCAAUGAAUAAAUGGGCAUAAACUAGACACCCGAAAGGGCAAUAUUCAUAAAACAGUAGAAGGGUGUUUUGGCCCUACACAACACACUCAUUGGUCACCUUGAAAUAGCCACUCUGGAAUGAAGGAACUUCAAAGGGAAGCACAAGCAUGAAGUUGCCCAAUUAUAAUUUUUACAGAAAUUCAAUUGUAUCACCUGGAGCUCAGAUGACAUGACAGGUUUUUAUCCUGCUACAUGUGUCAAUAAGUUCACCAAUGUCAGACGCUUUCUGCUAUCACCAACAAUACUUUGUUAACGGUCAUUGCUAACUGUAACCAUUUUCCAUUUACAUAAUUGUUACUAUGUGUUGAAUGUGCAUGUAAUUUUUCUCUGACUCCUCUGCAUCCUGCCUCCCCAGAACCUUAUGUACGGUAUAUAUAGUUGCCAGUUUAGGAUUACACUUCAUGAAUCUGAUGAAGUGGGCUCUACACUGCUAAAUCUUAUGCCAUAAUAAUUGUGUUAGUCUUAAAGGUGCUACAAGACACGUUGUCUUUUUUGCUGCGACAGGUCAACUUAUAUGUCUUGUGGAAAUUGCAAUUCUUUCAUUACUGGAGCAUUUUGAAAAGGGCUACCUAUUUCCACUCAGCUGAGCAGGGUUUAAGGAUUAAAAAAAACCCAACUCUUUUAAAUUAAAUUGAAAGCCUGAUUUUAGAAGACUUCUAAUAUACCUACUCUAAACAUGCCAGAGGGUAUAAAUGGCUGAAUCUGCCAAUUUCAGUCUCUUUAAGUUUUCCACUCUUAUGUUCAGUUCUCCCCAUUUCCACAUCAGUUUGCAA